AGACGGUUCCUGGGUGGCAAAAACCAGCUCUUCUGUCAGUGCCAAGAUCAAGAGAACACCUUGGGAGAGAGGAACAGAGAACAAUUCACAUUGCUGGAAAGUCCUUAGAUUCUGAACUUAGCAAACACCAAAUAAAGUGGGCAUUUCUACGCAAAGCGCGGAAAAAGAGGCCCCCAACGCAGUGAUCGAUUCCAGCUAUGAAUUCUACAUGACAGCAAAAAGCAACAAAAAGCCCUUGAUCAAAGAGGGUGGUGUAGGCUGGAAAUAUGCUGCACCAGCCUCUGGCACAGUGUUCCCUGGGAGUGCCCUACAAAGGUACUGGCCGCAUGGAGGAAGCGUAUGGCCGGAGCUGUCUGCCAAAGCAGCGUGCUUUUGGAGGACUGCUGAUGGAACCUGGGAGAGGGCAGAACAAACCUGGCUCCUUAUGGAUUCUGAGUAAAUACUGAUUGAGGCUAUUUGGUGAAGAGGAUAUGGAAAAUGAAGGGAUGAAACAAUAACCACAAGGAACAAAAGUCGCAAAUGUCUGAAGUAAUUCUUAAUUAUUCCGGUCCCUCCACUGUAGUUUGUUUCCAGCAAGGACAUUCUAUUCUUAGCACCUUUGGUCCCAACCUCUCCAUUUAUGCCACGUGUCCCUUUAUGGUCCCGGGCUUGACAAAUGUCCUGGUUUAGCAUCAGUGACAGAGAACAUAACUUGCUUUCAGAUGAAAUGCAGACUAAAAAGGACGGUGAGGAAUUCAUCCCAGAAUCUAGUUUUGCUUCUCACUCUUCAGAACAAAAGACAUUUAGCUUGGGGAAACAGUUCUGGAAAAAUCGACCGACUGUGUUGGCAAAGACGCAAAAUGAUCCCGGAACUAUGAGAGAUUGGUCAUAACACUAUUUGUACUCUUUCACCUGAAGACCCCACUAGUGGAGAUGUGCCCUUAGGGAGUGAAAGACAGAAAGAAAGGUAUUGCAUCUACCAACUUAGUCAUAACUGAACUUUGUAGAGCAGCCCCAAUGUAGAAACAAAGUGAGUCCCCAUCGACUGGAGAAUGGCUAACCAAAAAUAUGGCAUAUGGAUGAAAUGAAAAAUGAGUGCCAUCUCACAAGUCAGAGAAACAUGAGAUUGGGUAAAAUGAGGAAAUGUGAAGUUAAGCAGGACCAAUGGAAUAAGCUACACAAUGUUUUAAAACAAGGCAAAUGAAAAUAUCCCUGAAAGUCAGAUGAAGUGAGAUUAAGUACAAUGGACAACUUUGUUUUCAAGACAUAUUUCUCUCAGAAUAUUUAAGCUAUUUUCUCUUUAUUUUUAAAAUCCUCUUUUAUUUUUUCAAUUCAUAAGCAUUUA